rnacentral:rRNA from 1 species
AACGCGAAGAACCUUACCUACCCUUGACAUCUGUGGAAUUUAGCGGAGACGCUAGAGUGCCGAAAGGAACCACAAGACAGGUGCUGCAUGGCUGUCGUCAGCUCGUGUUGUGAGAUGUUGGGUUAAGUCCCGUAACGAGCGCAACCCUUAUCCUUAGUUGCCAACAUGUAAUGGUGGGGACUCUAAGGAGACUGCCGGUGAUGAACCGGAGGAAGGUGGGGACGACGUCAAGUCAUCAUGGCCUUUAUGGGUAGGGCUACACACGUGCUACAAUGGGCGGUACAGAGGGUAGCCAACUCGCAAGAGGGAGCCAAUCUCAGAAAGCCGCUCGUAGUCCGGAUUGAAGUCUGCAACUCGACUUCAUGAAGUCGGAAUCGCUAGUAAUCGCGAAUCAGAAUGUCGCGGUGAAUACGUUCCCGGGCCUUGUA